rnacentral:rRNA from 1 species
GAUGAACGCUGGCGGCGUGCCUAAUACAUGCAAGUCAAGCGAACAGACGAGGAGCUUGCUCCUCUGACGUUAGCGGCGGACGGGUGAGUAACACGUGGAUAACCUACCUAUAAGCCUGGGAUAACUUCGGGAAACCGGAGCUAAUACCGGAUAAUAUAUUUAACCGCAUGGUUCAAUAGUGAAAGACGGUUUUGCUGUCACUUAUAGAUGUAUCCGCGCCGCCUUAGCGAGUUGGUAAGGUAACGGCUUACCAAGGCAACGAUGCGUAGCCGACCUGAGAGGGUGAUCGGCCACACUGGAACUGAGACACGGUCCAGACUCCUACGGGAGGCAGCAGUAGGGAAUCUUCCGCAAUGGGCGAAAGCCUGACGGAGCAACGCCGCGUGAGUGAUGAAGGUCUUCGGAUCGUAAAACUCUGUUAUUAGGGAAGAACAAAUGUGUAAGUAACUAUGCACGUCUUGACGGUACCUAAUCAGAAAGCCACGGCUAACUACGUG